rnacentral:rRNA from 1 species
UACGAAGGGGGCUAGCGUUGUUCGGAAUUACUGGGCGUAAAGCGCACGCAGGCGGCUUGCUCAGUCAGGAGUGAAAGCCCCGGGCUCAACCUGGGAAUUGCUCUUGAUACUGGCAGGCUUGAAUCACGGAGAGGGUAGUGGAAUUCCGAGUGUAGAGGUGAAAUUCGUAGAUAUUCGGAAGAACACCAGUGGCGAAGGCGACUACCUGGCCGUCGAUUGACGCUCAUGUGCGAAAGCGUGGGGAG